UUCCACGGGGUGCACCCGCUGAAGCCUCCCGCAGCGACUCUAAAGCAAAUUGCGUCAGUCCGCCACGCGGGCGACACCACGAUCCCACUGGGACUUCCGCAACUGUCUCUGACGGUGCUGAUACCAGUGGCCUGUGCAACAGGUUCACAGAUCAAACAGUGGUGGCCACUGUGUGGUUAAGAUAUGACCGGUCUCCGCUGUAGCCAGCCGGAGAAGCCACGUUCCGUAGGUGAACCUGCGGAAGGAUCAUUACAGAGUUAGGGUCUUUUCAGGCCCGACCUCCAACCCUAUGUGUACCUACCUUUGUUGCUUUGGCGGGCCCGCUGGGGUGACCCACCGGCGGCCUUUGGCUCCCGAGUGCCCGUCAGAGACCCAUCCAAACCUGUUAACUGUGUCGUCUGAGUACCAACAUAAUAAUUAAAACUUUCAACAACGGAUCUCUUGGUUCUG
rnacentral:misc_RNA from 1 species